rnacentral:snoRNA from 1 species
UCGUUAUGAUGAGUAAAAAGUGAAUUCUGCAAUACAGACAGCUUCCUGCUCUGCAGUGAAACUGUGUGUUGACACCAAACUACACUUGAUCUGACC